UGGAAGUAUGUGUGGAAUAAGGUUACGUAUCUUGGGACACAGUUGUCAAAAUUUCUUGUUGAAGAAGUGUCUAUUUCUGAUGACCUGGAAUUACCAUCACAACAAGGAGAGCCUGUGGGCUCUUCUGUCCAGUUCAACUCAGCAAAUCUGAUGCAUUUUCUUCUAUUCAAUGAAAUAGUAAUAGUGCAUAAAGAUGAGUUUCUACCGUGUCAUAUAAUGGAAAAACAUUGGAAUUUCUACAAAGAAUGUGAAGAUUUUGGAUUUUAAAGAAUUCUUGAGUGCGGAGGCGUUUUUUGCUUUGUCAUCACUUAAAAGUAAACAUUUGAACUUUUAGAAUUAAAUGUUUUGUUACCAUCAUUUUGAUAAAUCAUUUGCCCAGCAUUUAAAAUGGACUGAAAGACUCCUUGGAUAAAUGAGGAACUGGAGAGUACUUUGUAGCAGGUAAGGAUAACUGUCAGUAUU
rnacentral:lncRNA from 1 species